CCUGUAUGAUGAUACUUCACAUUGCUUGACAGUCUGUGGAGGCAAAAUAACUGAUUUAAUGAGUCUGAAGG